CUGUUGUAUGAAAAGACAGAAGGUUAGCACUCUCCUUGACAAGGAUGGAUGAAGCCCUCCCCGACAAGUACAUACAUGGUUAAGGCAUUGCCACCUACUUAGUGGCAUCUAACCAUCAUUUUUG